rnacentral:lncRNA from 1 species
GGACGUACAGUAAUGUCAUGAACUGGUGAGUAAUUCCUUGAUUAAGCAAUACCACCUAGGGAUAGGGGUAGGACGAUGAAUUGUUUUUCACUGCUGCUCUAUAAUACUUUAUUAAUUGCUAGGGGAGGCUAGGGAUAGCAAGCUAGUAAUUAGUAAUAGGCUCUUUUCACCGAGGGAUCGAGUUAAGGGUAGGCUAAGAAAGUUGCAUGACAAUUAGUUAAUCAAACUAAUAAAUCAAGAGGAGAAAAUAAGAGAGAGCGGAUAAGAUGAAAUUGUAAACCCCCAAGAACUCUAUUUAUCCAUUGUUUUCUUCUCGUCAAUUGAAUCAAUCUCUUUCGCAUGUUUAUAUUUUGUUCUCACACCCAAUUAAUUAAUUUUUUUUUCAAGUCUUACGAUCUUAAUUCACACGAACGAUAAGGCCUUUCGAGUCUCUUGGGAAAACGAUACUUGGACUUACCAUUUAUUAUUACUUGAUACGAUUUGGUACGCUUGCCAAUCCGUUAACAAGUGUUUGGCGCCGUUGCCGGGGACUUGAGGUUUAUCUUUUUCAAGUAGUGUGAAUUAAUUGAAUUUGGCUUGAUUUUAUGUUUAUUUUGAUUUUUGUUCUAAUAAAUGUUUAUUAGAGUUUUGUGCUUAAUGUUUGCAGAAUGCAGUACGGACAAGGAUUUGAUUAUAUGGGCACUCAAUCCUACCAAAUUAAUUUCAAUCACUAGUGGGAGCCUCACUCAUACAUGGAUCAAAGUCGAUAUGGACAAGCUGCUGAGCCUCAUUUCAUGCCUAUACAAAGAAGUGUAGAAUCUGAUGAAAUUUUUUAGAGAAUUAUGAAUUUAGAAAUGUACCAUGUCAAAGGCAUAGAGGAGACUGUAAAGAAUGAUGAAUUCUUGCCACAAGACAUGUAUACAAGAUUUUCUUCUCAUAGAAGCAUGGAAGAAAGGCAACAAUAUCAGCGGCAGCAACAACACUCUUCACCAAUAGAAACAUGGGAGUAUGAUCAACAACUUUGCCAACAGGUAGCUGAUGUGACGGAACAUGUUAAAAGCUGUAAUGAAAGGUUCGACAAAUUUCUGGAGAGGUGUAGUUCCAAGAGAUAUGAAGUUACCUUCAGGAAUUUGGAGACACAAAUUGAUGUAGUUGUUGAUGAGGAGAAGGUGGAGAGAGAAGGGGAAAAGAUAGAAGAGGAGAAAAUAGAGGAAGAUGAAGUAGAAAGGUUGAGUGAGGGAGAGAAAGAUGAGAUGAAAGAAAAAGCAGUGGUUGAGAAAAAAGAAAAAAAUAAGAAAAAAAGAAAAAAGAAAAAAAGAAAGUGGAAGAAGGAGAAGGUUGAGAAAAAGAGGAAGAGAGGAAAGAAGAAAAGAUCACAUGAAAAACAUCUUCCUCAUAAAAAGAAAAAUCAUAGGAAGGGAAAUAAGUUCAAGUUGGCGAUCUUCAAGAAAUUGGAGACUAAAGUUCCUAUGAUUGAAACAGGUGCUUGAAGUUCUUAAUUUUCUGAAGAAAUUCAGUAGAAAGAAGAAGAAGAAAAGAAUAGCAAGCAAAAGGGAGUAUCAACACCUACUGAUAGGCGUUUGAACUCUAUCGGGUCAAGCUAAUGACGUUAAAAGAGCGUUUGCAGGGAGGCAACCCAGUUUCUGAAUUUUUUUUUCUUUUAUUUCGUAUUGAUUUGAUUUUAUUUGAUUUGAUUUGAUUUUAUUUUAUUUUAUUUUAUUUGAUUUGAUUUUAUAUUAUUUGAUUUGAUUUGAUUUGAUUUGAUUUGAUUUAUUUAUUAUUUUUUAAUUUUUGGUUAUACGCUGCUUCUUAUAGCAUAAUGAUUAGCAUCUACUGAGGGAUGCUAGAAGAUUUGUGAAUCCACUGAAGAUUCCAAGAAGGCACACCUACUGAUGGGUGUUGGAAGGUAUUGCACUUACUGACAUGUGCUAAACAGGUUUGGGUCAGACUCGUGACAUUAAACAAGCGCUACUAGGAGGCAACCUAGUAUUCUUUCUUUUACUUUUGCGUUUUAAAUUUUUAGAAUAGGUUGAAUUUUAUUUUUCAGUGUGUAUGCUUGGCCUAAAUACCCUUCUGAAGAUGUUUGACUGACUAAUUUGCAUGAUGAACUUAUUUAAUGAUAAUUUGAGGUGAUUAAUAAUUGAGUAGUGUUGCACGUUGAUAGCCAGUGAAACAGAUGUGUGAUGAGUUAUGAUUGUGGUUAUGAUGCUAAGCAGGAUGUAUGAAUGAAUGUUGUGUGAGAAAGCAUGUUGUGUGAGGUUUUGAGCUCCAGAGAUUUCAUUGCUGUUAGUAUUGUUCACUGGAAAGCAUGAAUGAUAUUGCCUUAAUCUGGAUGGUUGAUUGAAUUGCAUGUGAAUGUCAUAUGAUCAAGGCCAUUUUUUAAAACCUUUCUCUAGCCAAAUUUUCAUCCAAAGUGCUUGAAAAUAUUAUACCCUUUUUGAACCUUAGAAUUAAACAGGAUGUGAACCCUUGUCUUGAAAUUCUUUACCUUGAGUUGGGAUGANCUUAANUNUAUGUGAUGAAAAGGUUCAAGUUUGGGGUUGCAUGGGGGAAAUUGGAAAGCUUUUAAGAAGCAUUGAGCUCAAUUGUUGAAAAAGAAAAAUGCAUGUGAAAAAGAAAAAAAAAAAUAAGAAAAGGCAUGAAGAUGAGCUCAAUGGAAAAGAAAAGGGAAAGAAGUUGGGAAUGAGUGAGAUUGGUGAGGAAGAGAGUUGUGCUUAAAUGAUGAAUACUAUGAGAUCUCUCUUGACUCAAGGAUUUUGUUUUCCAGAAAAACCAAUUUUUCUUGUUAGCCCAACCUCAUUACAAGCCUAGGAAAAGUCCUUUUGAUGGCAUUUGCAUGUAAAGAUGUUGAUUGUUUGAGAUGAAUGACAAUUCUAUUUCUUGUGACUUGUGAAUGAUAGAGAGUUGGAGUGUCACCCUAAACACUUGAGUGAUUGGGUGAAACACUUGCUUGGUAUGAAUUGUUAAUUUUCAUGAGUGCAUUUUUGCUUAGUGGAUUGGUCAUUCAUAAUGUGCAACAUUUGUUGUGCAAUCUCUGGAUUGAAAGGAUGCAUGCAUCUUAAUUUGAUUUCACUGAAGAUUUGAGAUUGAGUAGUGUUUGUCAUGUACUUUAGGAGUGUUGAAUCAUUGGAUGAAAUAGUAUAAAGCCAAGCUCUGUUUGUGUGCUGUUUUGUUUUGUUUGCUUGAGGACAAGCAAAGUUCUAAGUUUGGGGUGGUGAUGAAGGUUGAAAAAUAGUUAUUUUAAUGUGUCAUUUUAGACCAAAUUACUCCCUUUACUGCUUAGAAUGAGCUUAGAAUCAAGCAAAACUUAAUAAAUGAGUCUUUAGAGAGUCACAACCUUAAUAAGUGAAGAAUGGAGUUAAAGAUGAAGGUUGUAGACUCAAGCAAAGGGAAGAAAAAUGAACAAAUGAAGAGUCGACGUAUCGCCCGACGGAAAAUUACACCGCUGGGCUCCAUUUCUUCUUAUCUAGGGUUUUCUUUUCCAUUCUUCAUCCAUUUUUUAUCUAGUUUCACCAUGACAAUGGUGAUCUAAACCCUAUUUUUGUUGGGGGAAACAAUGUAAUCUUUUGAUACUCUCUUCUAUUGAAACUCUUGUUUAUUUAUAUGGUUUCCAUAUGCUUUGAUUAUUAAUUGUUGGGUUCUCAUCUGUUCUUAAUGCUUUUAUCAUUUAACUCAUUUAAUAACUGUUGUUUGUCUUUAUUGAUACGGGGACGUACAAUAAUGUCAUGAACUGGUGAGUAAUUCCUUGAUUAAGCAAUNCCACCUAGGGAUAGGGGUAGGACGAUCAAUUGUUUUUCACUUCUACUCUAUAAUGCUUUUUUAAUUGCUAGGGGAGGCUAGGGAUAGCAAGCCAAUAAUUAGUAAUAGGCUAUUUUCGCCGAGGGAUCGCGUUAAGGCUAGGCUAAGAAAGUUGCAUGACAAUUAGUUUAUCAAGCUAAUAAAGCAAGAGGAGUAAAUAAGAGAGAGCGGAUAAGAUGAAAUUGUAAACGCCCAACAACUCGAUUUAUCCAUUGUUUUCUUCUCGUCAAUUGAAUCAAUCCCUUUUGCAUGUUUAUAUUUUGUUCUAACACCUAAUUAAUUAAUUUUUAUUUUCAAGUCUUACGAUAUUAAUUCACACGAACGAUAAGGCCUUUCGAGUCUGUUGGGAAAACG